rnacentral:tRNA from 1 species
GCGGCUAUAGCUCAAUGGUAGAGCGCCUGCUUCCCAAGCAGGAUACGUCAGUUCGAUUCUGUCUAGCCGCUCCA